GUCGAAUCUGGUUCGGGUCAAUAUUACCAGGGAUCAGUAACACUGUCUUGGGACUUCAUUACAGCCCCAUAACCGAUCCUAUUGGACUAUCAGUGUCUGAUCUAUCUCUAUUCUCAUGGUUUCAGCGAUGACUCAUGAUCUGCUUGCAAACUAUCUUUAUUUACUGUAAGCCAAGGGCAUCUCACAGACACUUUGAUUUUCUUGCUCUCGUGUUUCUCAGUCUGAUUGAAGACGUCCUGACCCAGAUUUAGCCACAGGUCUCCCAUAAUGUGCUACCGACUCACACAGACCCAUCGUGUCCCUACCCUGAUGAGAGCGCCCUCGCCGGGACCAUACCGUAUUCAUAAAGGGACAAAAGCUAGGGACCUGGCAUUCAAAACGGGAAAUCGAGACGUCUUAAGAUGAUCAUUGCAGACAGAUCUGCUCGUGUGGCUUCAGACAUGCUGAAGGCAGAUCAGAUCAGAUAUGAUGACUGGACACAGACCUCACUCUACAGACUUUCAUCUGAUUUACUCACCAGCUAUCACCUUCAUCAUACAGCUAGCAAUGGCUUUAGGAUAACAGAGCCGAAAUUACAUAAAGUUUAAUGACGUCAUGCAUAGAGAUGGUAAUAGAUGCCAUGUGUUUGUGAAUGAUGCUCAACAGCUCUUGUCUAAUGAGGGACAUACUCUCUUCAUAUUGGCCAGGAUAUUUGAAAGAUAUAUACUAUUAUAUAGCAAGGACACAUUGAUCAAAAGUGACAAUAAAGCAUUUAUAACAUUACACAAGAUUUCUAUUUUAAAUGAAUGUUUAAUCCUGAAAAAAAAAGAAAGGUUUCCACAAAAACAUAUUGGGCAGCA
ensembl:lncRNA